rfam:Algibacter lectus DNA, contig: contig00018, strain: JCM 19300.
UUAUUGCGGGAGCGAUAGCAGUGGCAUCCUUUUUACGACUUAUUAAAAUGGCUUAAAAUAGCUGUUGUUUUGUUUAUGCUCUAGCUAAUUUGAUUAGCUUAAUUUUUCCUCGUAAAAAGAUAUAACGGAUAGCGCGGUUUUUA